CGGACGGGUGNGUAAUGUCUGGGAAACUGCCUGAUGGAGGGGGAUAACUACUGGAAACGGUAGCUAAUACCGCAUAACGUCGCAAGACCAAAGAGGGGGACCUUCGGGCCUCUUGCCAUCAGAUGUGCCCAGAUGGGAUUAGCUAGUAGGUGGGGUAACGGCUCACCUAGGCGACGAUCCCUAGCUGGUCUGAGAGGAUGACCAGCCACACUGGAACUGAGACACGGUCCAGACUCCUACGGGAGGCAGCAUG
rnacentral:rRNA from 1 species